UACGGAGGGAGCUAGCGUGGUUCGGAAUUACUGGGCGUAAAGCGCACGUAGGCGGCUUUGUAAGUUAGAGGUGAAAGCCUGGGGCUCAACUCCAGAAUUGCCUUUAAGACUGCAUCGCUUGAAUCAUGGAGAGGCGGGUGGAAUUCCGAGUGUAGAGGUGAAAUUCGUAGAUAUUCGGAAGAACACCAGUGGCGAAGGCGGCCCGCUGGACAUGUAUUGACGCUGAGGUGCGAAAGCGUGGGGAGCAAACAGG
rnacentral:rRNA from 1 species